UGCAGCCCUGUCAAAUUCAGUCCUGGCCUCCUCUGUGGCAGGGACUGGCCAGCCAGCUGCCACAGCAACCUCUGUAGUGUGUGAGCCCCACAUCCCCCGCUGUGGGACCCCAGGGAUAAAAACACACCACAGACAUUG
ensembl:snoRNA